rnacentral:lncRNA from 1 species
CCAAACCCAAUUUUAAGAGAAAUUUUCAAUCUAGGAAAAGUGAGAGUGUAAUGAGUCUUGUUCUAUUUCACCUCCGUGGAACAGAAAAACAACACAGUGUUUCCUUUGUUUUUCUUAUUGCUGUUGUUUGUUUUCUUUUGUUUUUAGCUCAACUGCAAAUGGAUUUUUCUCAUCAAGUAAUACAAAAAUAUUAAAUUCUGGUUGUUUUAGUCAGAAAGAAGAAUAUUUCUUAUUGUGAUUGUGGCCACCUGUCCUUCCAGGAAAUAGGAAGUCACCUACAAGCAAGUUAGAAAGGAAAUGCAUGGAAGUAAACAUUGAAUCUCUGAUUCAGUACAGAUGAUCCUGAAACAGAUCUCUCAUGUUGUUCCUCUGCUUCUGACCCUUUAGUGUCCUCCCAGCCUCCGUGGCAUUAAGGCCGCCUGCCUCCAUGCUCCGUAACCACCACCUUAUCUUUCAGUUCAGCUUGUGUCACUCCCCCUACUGGGCCAAACACAGCUGCACCAUUUUCCAUGAUCCAAAAACACCAUGUGUUGAAGGCAAUCGACUUCUAGGAUAUUCCUGUUCAAAGACUGGGAAGCCUGACUGUAGACUCCA